rnacentral:rRNA from 1 species
GGCGGCGUAAAGCUGUCGCUAAAAGGAUGGACCUGCGAUGCAUUAGCUAGUUGGUAAGGUAACAGGCUUACCAAGGCGAUGAUGCAUAGCCCGAGUUGAGAGACUGAUCGGGCCACAUUGGGACUGAGACACGGGCCAAACUCCUACGGGAGGCAGCAGUAGGGGAAUCUUCCACAAUGGACGAAAAGUCUGAUGGAGCAAACGCCGCGUGAGUGAAGAAGGUUUUCGAAUCGUAAAAAGCUCUGUUGUUGGUGAAGAAGGAUAGAGGUAGUAACUGGCCCUUUAUUUGACGGUAAUCAACCCAGAAAGUCACGGGCUAACUACGUGCCCAGCAGCCGCGGUAAAU